rnacentral:rRNA from 1 species
CACGGGGGGAGCAAGCGUUGUUCGGAAUCACUGGGCGUAAAGGGCGUGUAGGCGGUCGAGUAAGUGGAAUGUGAAAUACUCCGGCUCACCCGGAGCACUGCAUCCCAAACUGCUCGGCUUGAGUAUGGGAGAGGACGAGGGAAUUCCUGGUGUAGCAGUGAAAUGCGUAGAGAUGCGGAGGAACACCGAUGGCGAAGGCAGCCCCCUGGGCUAACACUGACGCUCAGGCACGAAAGCGUGGGGAGCAAACAGG